AGUGAACGUUGGCGGCGUGGAUUAGGCAUGCAAGUCGAGCGAUCGUAGCAAUACGGGAGCGGCAAACGGGGUAGGAGUACAUCGGAACGUACCUUUUGGUUGAGAAUAGCGUUGGGAAACUGACGGUAAUACUCAAUAAAGUCGAGAGACCAAAGGUUUACUGCCGGAAGAGCGGCCGAUGCGAUAUUAGGUAGUUGGUGGGGUAAAGGCCUACCAAGCCAGAGAUGUCUAGGGGGUGUGAGAGCAUGGCCCCCACCACUGGGACUGAGAUACUGCCCAGACACCUACGGGUGGCUGCAGUCGAGGAUCUUCGUCAAUGGGCGAAAGCCUGAACGAGCGACGCCGCGUGCGGGAUGAAGGCCCUUGGGUUGUAAACCGCUGUCAGGGGGGAUGAAACCGUAAGGUUGACAGAGCCCCAGAGGAAGCACGGGCUAAGUUCGUG
rnacentral:rRNA from 1 species